rnacentral:rRNA from 1 species
AUUGAACGCUGGCGGCAGGCUUUACACAUGCAAGUCGAACGGCACCGCAGUCUUCGCCCUCUCUUCCGGUUGCGAACGGGUGAGCGAUACAGCGGAACGUGCCCAUUAGCUUUGGAUAGCUCGACGAAAGCCGGAUUAAUACGCCAUACGACCUGACGGUGAAAGCGGGAAAGCUUGGGACCUCCCGCCAUUGGGCCGUCCGAUGGCCGAUUAGCGAGUUGGUUGGGUAAAGGCCUACCAAGGCGACGAUCUGUAGCUGGUCUGAGAGGAUGACCAGCCACACUGGGACUGAGACACGGUCCAGACUCCUACGGGAGGCAGCAGUGGGGAAUAUUGGACAAUGGGCGCAAGCCUGAUCCAGCCAUGCCGCGUGUGUGAUGAAGGCCUUCGGGUUGUAAAGCCCUUUUGUCGGGAACGAAAAGGAGUGUGUAAAUACCACGCUUCGAUGACGGUACCCAAAGAAUAAGCACCGGCUAACUACGUG